rnacentral:rRNA from 1 species
CAGCAGCCACGGGAAUACGGAGGAUCCAAGCGUUAUCCGGAAUCAUUGGGUUUAAAGGGUCCGUAGGCGGUCUUGUAAGUCAGUGGUGAAAGCUUAUCGCUCAACGGUGGAACGGCCAUUGAUACUGCAGGACUUGAAUUAUUGGGAAGUAACUAGAAUAUGUAGUGUAGCGGUGAAAUGCUUAGAGAUUACAUGGAAUACCAAUUGCGAAGGCAGGUUACUACCAAUUGAUUGACGCUGAUGGACGAAAGCGUGGGUAGCGAACAGGAUUAGAUACCCCUGUAGUCCCUGUCUCUUAUAC